rnacentral:rRNA from 1 species
UACAGAGGAGCCAAGCGUUGUCCGGAUUGACUGGGCGUAAAGCGCACGCAGGCGGUCGCGCGCGUGGGGUGUGAAAUCUGGCCGCUUAACGGCCAGGCGCCAUCCCAUACGGCACGACUGGAGUGAUGCAGAGGUCGAUGGAAUUGCCGGUGUAGUGGUGAAAUGCGUAGAGAUCCGGAGGAACACCAGCGGCGAAGGCGGCAUCCUGGACUGGUACUGACGCUCAUGAGCGAAAGCGUGGGGAGCGAUCCGG